AUAUAAAUGCCCUUAGAUUUUCUUACGUGGGUUGAUAGACAUACAGACAGGAUUUCAUAUACACUAUAUACAGCUAUAUUCUGGGGAGUGCUCAUCGCUAGUACUGGCAUCUCAUUGAAAUUCACAAGAGACAUUAUAAAGGACUACUUUUUUAGUCACUGAGAGAGCAAGAGAUAGAUAGAUAGAUAGAUAGAUAGAUAGAUAGACAGACAGAUAG